rnacentral:lncRNA from 1 species
GGAGCAUCUGGACCCCCUGUGAGUACAGUCUUCUCUCUCCUACUGACACUGACAUACCUGUAAAAUUACAAAUUAUCUUGUUUGGAAACCAAUAAUAUCUCCCUCAUUUUCUAGGGUCCUCCCGGUUUCCAAGGUCUUCCUGGUGAGCCUGGUGAACCUGGUCAAACAGGUCCCCAGGGUCCUCGUGGUCCCCCUGGUCCUCCAGGAAAGGCUGGUGAAGAUGGUCACCCUGGCAAACCUGGAAGACCUGGUGAGAGGGGUGUUGCUGGCCCUCAGGUGUGUAGUGAUCCACUGAAUACAAUACAAACCAGUUCACUAAUCCAUGAAACCUAACAACCUUUCUGAAUUUCACCACAUUAACAGUCUAGUAAUAUUCCUUAUAUGGAUUAAUACAAUUUCAGCCCUU